AGCACAGAGCCCGACGAGGGUCUCAAAUUCAUGAACGUCGAAAUUGUGACCUGAGCCCAAGUCGGACCAUUAACCAACUGAACCACCCAGGCGCCCCUGCCUCUUCAUUCUUGAAGCAGGGAGAAAACUGACCUUGGCUCUCAUCUGGGAGAGAGCGGGUCCGUAACGGGCACCUCACGCCCUCGGAAACCACGUCUUCUCUGGGCAACAUGCCAGUUGUAGAUUAGCUUACUAGGUCCAAAGGAGCGAGGGUACCUAACAGUGAAGUAACUGACAGCGUCCUGGGUAGCUGGGCGGGCCCAGCCAAACCCUCUUGCCCGCCAGCAGGCAAGAGGCUCCCAGGCACUCAGCAUGAUGUGUUUCUCGACCCCAGAGCAGGUCUCCUGACCACCUCUCCAGAGGUGAAAUGUGCCUUCUGUGUUCGCCUGAGGACCUGUGCAGUGUAUGUAUGUUCAGUAGGAUUUUGUAACUGUAUGUAAUUUUUUUUUUUUUUACACAACAGUAGCUUCUUUAAAUGGCCUUUCCUGUGACCCAAGAGGCCUCAUGAAUGAGCCAGACGUGGACCCAUGUCUUGGGCAUUUGUAACCUUUGUUCUUCUCUUGCAUGUGAAAAAAGCCAUAAUGGAUUAAACCAGACUACCUGCUUGGAGUGUAUGUGUUUGAAAACCCCUCACACUCCCCAGAGCAUGCGGUCCAGGGUCACGCUUCAGCACAGACUGGGCACGUACACGGAAACUGACAGAAGGUUCAGGAACUUGCCCAAAUCAUCAUGGCCCCUUUGAGGAGGGCCUCUCACUUAUCUAUCAGGAUAACCACCCACGGCACCUCUGAGAUAGCCAGAACCUGGGCCUCUCGUGGUUUGGAAACUGGUCGCACGAGGGACCCCACACUUGAAGACUGGGAGAGCGCCGGGUCGGCAUUUGGCCCAGGUAUCCUGCCCCAGCUUUGACACACGUUCUGAAAAUACAUCCGAAAGCUGAUGUGCAGAAACCGAGAGGGAUACACGGUGGGACCUUGCCUGCCCAGCUCAGCCAGCCAGGCUGCCUGUCAACACCCAUACCCCGGCCUGUGCCACGGAGGUGGGCUGUGUUUAGCCACCACCUCACAAGCUUGUUUCGGGAACUAGGUCCGCGGCCUUUGAAGGGACGGGAGGGAAGUCGGAGCGAGGAGACAAUGCCAUUUUUACAUGUCCAUUUAUUAAACAAGAACUCCUUCGUGACAAUUUAAUACAAUAUUUAUUAACGAUUAGUGCUGAGAAAAUUAUUUCCCUCUACAUACAAAAAUACAGAUUUGAACACUAUGAAAACAAUCAGGACGAGUACCAUGAAAAAUAGGUCCUUCAAAAGAAAUAAAGGGGCAAAACUGAGGGCAACGUGAGGCUCUGUCUGCUGUCGGGGACAAACCCACAGGAGCAAAGGCUUUGGGGCCCCAACACCACUCCAAAUGGAUAGAGUCAAACCUACAAGCCAGGGUUUGAGAAGCCAGGAAAGCCACCAACAGCACAAACCAAAGUUUGCCAAAUGGGCAUCACCUCAGAAUGCCCCACAGCUGUGCCUAAAUGAUUAAAGGAAAAAGACUUCUAAGAAGCAAAAUGUAAUCGUUACUAAGUUAACAUUGCCCCCCAGAAGUGCCACCCGGCCAAGUACCAAUGAAUAAUCAUAUUGGAGCUAUUAGCCAUCUGAUUUCAUUUCCUUUGUUAAAAUAAUGACAUCUUCUGGCCCUUCCAAAGGACAAAAAAGAAGCUACAGUUUGAGUAAAUCCAUUCCUUCAUUUUGCAGUGGCUCAGCUAGUUCACUCAAAGAAUUUUCUUCACACAGAACUCGCGUCCUAUAGAUAUGGGAGGGGUGGGAAAGCCAACAGAGCAGCUAGAGCGUUAUCUAAUGUCAGCAAGCUCCUCAUAGCAGGGAGUCUAUUUUGUCCCAGCGCAAAACCAGAAAGGGCCACGGAGCCCACCCCGGGGAGUCCACAAACCAAAGUCAGUGGAGGCCCCUUGGGCAGCCCCUCUCUCCCAGGCAGGGCUGGAGGUGGGCCUGAGCUGGUCCUCUGCUUCACCAGCCCGCCAGCAAGGGAGAUCUUCACUGUGUCAGACCUAAAGGGGAAAAUCAGAGCGCCACGGAUGUUCCAUGCUUAUCCUUUCUACAGAACCACUUUCCUCUUACCGUUUGAGGCGAGCAGUGGCUCUCCCUAACUGAACAAGUGGUUUAAAAAUGCCAAAUGCAGUUAUACUGAUUAAUUAUUUCACAGAAAUAUACGCUUACUCUCAGACUGUUGAAAUAAGCAGAAACAAGUCAUUGGGGAGAAAGCAGCAGAGAGGAGACAGGAAGAGCCAAGGUGGGUGUGGUUUUUUCUCUUUUUUAAAAUACAUAACGAAGUUUAAAGGGAUAAUGUCUAAACCUCAAAGCCAUCAUUGCUAAAAGCAAUAUUAAAAGGACACGAUCUAACAUCAUGCUACAAAAAUAGUGUCAUCUGGUUUAACUAAAUGUACAUCUUUUUUUCAGUUCCAUGAUUGACAAGUGUUUAUGUGACUGACACACAGAAGGCACCGAAGGUGAAGUGAUUAUUAUUUGUCUUAAAAUAUACAAAGACAGAAUUACCUACUUCGGGGGAAAAAAAAUACAGUCAUACCUGUAAUAAAUAGUUAAGUGUUUUUGCCACGGGUUCCCGAACCCCUACAGAUUUCAACAUAUACAAAUAGUUUCGAUCCCUACAUUCUCUUAGAGGGAACCACAUCAAAAUCAAGUUAACAAAAGCAUUGGUUUUAUCCACAUAUGUCAGUUUCAUCAUAAGUCAGGAUUUGAAAACUCAUUUUUAAACGGGUUACAGAGUGAAGGAGCUGGAAGCAGUCAGCCCCCGUGCAGGUCUAGGCCAGCUUGGGGGUCCAUCUGGGCCUCCUGCCCUCGUCCUUCCCCACGAGCCAGCCUUCCCCCAGCCUUUGGACCAGCCAAUUCUCCCUUCAAGCUCUGAUUCUUUGCCUCCUUCACUUCUGCAGAAAGGGAAACUUGCGAAAUCAAUUCUGGAAAAGGCAGGAAAGCAAAAUGGCCCACCGAAGGAGGCAGGCAUCAGUUAGACCUGGCCCUGCUUGAUACAGGCACCAAAUGGGUCCCCACACUGUCCUCAUUUCCUGGUAACAGGAAAUGCUUUCUACUGGGGUUCAGCAGCGUUCUCCAGAGACAACUCCGACGUGACAGUUUUGGACUGAGUCCCAUACAAACCAGCACCCGAAUCAACUGUGUCCUACCUUCUCUGGCCUGAGGCACAAUUAUGAAAAGAAACCUCACCUCACCCUAAUCCUGUCAACAAAGCUGAUUAAGGUCAUUUGAGACCAGUUCCUACUGGAAAUUGGAACCAGAAAGGUUCUGACAGCCCACUAGAGUCCAGGCUAUUAACUCCUUAAUGAAGGCUCUCUGGCCUCUGCAUACAAUGCAUCCCAAGGAAAACCUGCCGCUCCAAGGUGUCUAGAUGAGCAAGCAGGUCACCCUAAUUAAAGUCUUGGCAUGAAAAUGCGGAAAACAAACUGACCCUAGGAACAAGAUGCACUAUUCAAGGAUCCAUAAGCUAAACUUUAUUUUAGGCAAGUUGCUGUUGCUUCAACCUCAGUGGGCUUGUAGGUAACUUUUUUCUUUAUUGUUACAUUUAUGGGAUAAGAAAAACCAGAGAGGGAAAAAAAAUCCCCAAGGUUCAGAAAUUGCACCGAAAUGGGACAGAAAUAUAAUCUAGACCAAAGAAGGAAGAACACAUCGGCCCCAUUC